rnacentral:rRNA from 1 species
AUUGAACGCUGGCGGUAUGCUUAACACAUGCAAGUCGAACGGCAGCAUAAUCUUCGGAUUGAUGGCGAGUGGCGGACGGGUGAGUAAUAUAUAGGAAUCUGCCUUGUAGUGGGGGAUAACUAUCCGAAAGGAUAGCUAAUACCGCAUAAUGAUUACGGUUUAAAGCAGGGGAUCUUCGGACCUUGCGCUACAAGUUGAGCCUAUACAAGAUUAGCUAGUUGGUGAGGUAAAGGCUCACCAAGGCGACGAUCUUUAGCUGGUCUGAGAGGAUGAUCAGCCACACUGGGACUGAGACACGGCCCAGACUCUUACGGGAGGCAGCAGUGGGGAACAUUGGACAAUGGGCGCAAGCCUGAUCCAGCAAUACCGCGUGUGUGAAGAAGGCCUUCGGGUUGUAAAGCACUUUUGUUAGGGAGGAUGGUGAUUUUGGCGAAUACCCAAAGUCAUUGACGUUACCUAAAGAAUCAGCACCGGCUAACUCCGUGCCAGCCGCCGCUGUAACAC